UAAAUUAUCAAAGGAUAAAUGAUUUGUAACUUAAUUUAAUGAUAAUUUUCUAUUAUGAUUAUAAGUAAGGAGUUUGAUUUUUUUACUUAUUUAACGGUCUUGUUAUUAAAUGAUUUGGCAGCGUAACAUAUUGCACAUACGAAAUGAUUUAUUUUAUUAUGAAAAAAUAACUUAAAAGUCCAAAUAUGAUAUUUCAUUCUAAAUAUUUAAUCACUCUCCUUAUCAAUCAAAUGUACAAAUUUUUUGAAUACCUAAUAAGAUAUUCAUGAAUCCAAACAAUGACUAUUAAAUAUCAAUGUAGGUAAAAUUAUAUGCAACUAACCUAAAUUUUAGGUCAUUUGAAAACAACUGCCUAAUGUUUAGAAAUUUUAAUUUUACAAUGUGAUUUUAAUUGUUUACUAGUUUUGAAAAACUAUCGUGUACACCCGGUGCAUUUGUUCAUUCAUAAACCACAUCUUUAUUUUGGUGAUAUAUUUAUUUGAUUGCUUGAUAUCUAACAUCUAAAUGUUAUAUAUUUGUUUAGUUAAAAUUAAGUAAUUGAAUAAAUAAUAUGAGAUGCAUUUAGAAAAGGAAAAACUUCAAAUACCACUUCACACUUUCUCCAUUUAGUAUCCUGUAAUUUAAAGUGUAUCAAUUUAGUGCCUUAUGGUUUCAUUUUUAUUUUUUUAUCAUCGAUUUCGCUAAUCAUUUUCGUUAAAUUUGUGACACAGUUAAAACGAAAAUGUACUAAAGUGAAUAUUCGAUAAACCUAGAUAAGGUAUCUGAAAUUUUUUGUGUAUAAUUUAACGAAAUGUUAACGAAAAAACUGACGAAAAUAUAAAAAUGAAACCACGGGACACUAACUUGAUAUACUUUAAAGCACAAGAUAGUAAAGUGAGAAAGUGUGAAAUCAUAGGGUGGUAUUUGAAGUUUACACUUUAGAAAAACUAAGCUAUAGUGUAAAAAUAAU
rnacentral:lncRNA from 1 species